CACCAGCCCCUCGAGUGGUGGGGAUGAUUAUUUGGCCUAAAGCGUCCGUAGCCGGCCGGGUAAGUUUCCCGUUAAAUCCAGCGUCUCAAGCGUUGGACUGCGGGAAAUACUGCCUGGCUAGAGAGUGGGAGAGGUCAGCGGUAUUCUGGGGGUAGGGGCGAAACCCUUUGAUCCCCGGAGGACCACCAGUGGCGAAGGCUGCUGACUAGAACGCGUCUGACGGUCAGGGACGAAAGCUGGGGUAGCGAACCGGAUUAGAUACCCGGGUAGUCCCAGCCGUAAACGAUGCAUGCUAGGUGUUGGGUUGGCCACGAGCCACCCCAGUGCCGCAGGGAAGCCGUUAAGCAUGCCGCCUGGGAGGUACGAUCGCAAGAUUGAAACUUAAAGGAAUUGGCGGGGGAGCACCACCAGGCGUGAAGCCUGCGGUUU
rnacentral:rRNA from 1 species